CUGUGAUGCCCAAGUUGCUUAGGUUACGGGAUAUAUCAGUUAGGAUUCCUUCCUCUGCAAGUUAAGAGAAGACUCCUGCUCGGAAUGACUUAAGUAGUCAGAACAUUAACCGUUUUACAAAACGUAGAGCAGCUUCGUGAGGCGUCGCGUCCAGUGGCCCGGUGACGGCAGGGAGUUAGGUUCUCUCCGUGUUUCUGCUCUGCUGUCCUCUGUGUACUGACUUUGUCUUCCGCCAGCUCCCCUCCCGUCCAGCCUUUCCUGGCGUCUCUUGUGAUGAGUGAGGAAAUCUUUCUCGAAGCCCCUGACUUUCCCACGCGUCUCAUUGGCCUGAGUGAUGCCUCAGGCCCGGCCCCAGCCAGUCGGUGGCAAGGGAAGGAGCCAUCGGAUGGACUUCGUGAGGCAUGGGCCUGAGGAGUAGAUGUUGCAUCACCCGAACCAAAUCAGAGCCCGUGAGUAGGAGCAGAGGGGCAUGGAUGUGGGGACAGCCAACCAGGAUCUGCUACCCCGGGAAUUUUAUUUUAUUUUUUUAAGUUUAUUUAUUUAUUUUGAGAGAGAGAGAGAGAGAGGGAGGCCGCAAGCAGGGAAGGAGCAAAGACAGAGGGAGAGAGAGAAUCCCAAGCAGACUCUGCCUGACGCGGGGCUCGAUGUCCGGAACCAUAAGAUCAGGACGUGAGCCGCAAUCAAGAGUCAGAUGCUCAACCAACUGAGCUACCCAGGUGCCCCUGCUACAUUAGAAACUUUAAAUUUAUUCAGUUUUCUUGCUGACUUGGGAGGGGGGGCGGUCAAUAACUGACAGUAACGCUUGCUCCUAAAAUACGUGUAUUUUGUACUCCGUUCUUCACGCGGGGGCAGUUUUAGGCAUUCGCGUCUUCUGUUGGCCUUGCACUUUCCAGACAGGCCCUUUUCCCAGGGACCAUCCAGGUCGGCGGUCCUCUAGCAUUUAAGCUCUUCUCCCCAUCGAUGCGUCUGCUGUCUCCCAGAGUUGGCUGUUUCAGGUCUCCAUCUAGCAAGGACUAGAAAAGGGGAAACUAAGGAUUCUAAAUAUUACAAGGCUUUAGAUGAAUAAGCCCCCAGCUUGGCAAAGGGCAGGGCAGUAGGCUUCUGGCUGGCGGCCCCCAAGAGCCAGCGCCCCUGCUCGCCGCUCACCCAGGGACGCUGCGGGAUCAGUGGAGAGACAGGCAGGCACAGGUGGCUCCUGAAAUUUGGGAGAAACAGGGUGCUGGCUGCUCUCCUGGGAAAGCCGGCUCCACCAGACAUGCACGGACGGUAAUUUCCGAGGCGGAAAACAUCCAAGUGAGGUUUUUCUUGGGUCUCGUCCCUGAGACACCCUCCCCCCCACCCCCGCCCCGACUCUCGAGACAGGUUUGUCUCUGCCCAGCCUGGACGGAAGUCACCGCAGACGUGGAUGGGUCUCUGGGGCUCCUCUGAGCCACCGUCACCUUCCUGCUGCCGGGUCAGGUUUUCUGCAGGAGGCCGGUGCAAGGGCGGAAAAAGGCCUUCCAGCUUUCAACGUCAUUGUGAAAGGCAGGAGGACCCUUAACGGCUGGGGGUAAAAGUCAUCGGGUUCCUUUCCAAGCCUGGCAGGGGAGUGUGUGGGGGCAGGAAGCGAGGGAGACCCAGAAUCCGAAGCAGGCUCCAGGCCCUGAGCGGUCAGCACAGAGCCCGACGCAGGGCUCGAACCGGCGAACCGCAAGGUCAUGACCUGAGCCGAAGUCGGGCGCUUAACCGACUGAGCCACCCCAGGCGCCUUAAAAGUGCUGUUCUCGAGGAUCAGAACCGCUCACGGUUGCAAUUUGGCACGUCUGCGAUUCCUUGCCCAUCUCCGUCUUCACGGGCCCUGCGAGGCCCAGGACGUCCCCCACCCUCCCCACCCAGUGUGGGUUGAGCACAGUCAGUAGCCGAUGGGUGCUGAAGGUACAUCAGUGCUUCCCGAGACAAGUGCUGUGGGAUCGGGAAGGUUUCCUGAGUGGACGUCCACAUCUCCUGGAUGAAGACGACACCUCCUUUUCCAGGAUUGGAACGUCCAAGAGCCAUGUUGCCAGAAUCCAUUUUUCUUUAGCACUUGGAGUUUCAGUGCUAGGAGCUUACUCCCUUGGUAAAGAUGACUUCUGGUUUCCUCGUGUUGCCCUGGCUCCCUGGACCAGCAGCCCUGCCUGUGCAGCGAGAGGCGUUGGGCCUGGGGCUCACAAGGGCCCCUGUAAGGACAAGUCAAGUGAAGGCAAAGUCAGGGCUCUGAACCGAGCCCCAGGCCUUUCAGCAACAGAAGCUCGCUGGUAAUUGAACCAAAGGCCUUUCGGUAGAAGAGAACAUACGUUGAAAUCUAAGUACGUUCACUCUGACCUUGGGUUGCAGCUUUGCAAGAGACUCUGACUUGGUUAAGACUGCUGACUCGGCGUGCUUUGUGUCUCGUAGAACACAGUCAGAGUUCGUGCAUUGACUGAUCAUUCACCCUUCCUGGAGUUCUGGUUUCGCCUCUCUGACUGGGAAGUUUGUCCCCAAAGUCCCAGCCUGCCCUCGCUGACUGGGAAGAUGAUCCCUGAAGUCCAGGCCUCCCCUCUCUGACUGGGAAGAUGGUCCCCGAAGUCCAGACGUCCCCUCUCUGACUGGAAAGAUUGUCCCCAAAGUCCAGGCUACUCUCUGACUGGGAAGAUGGUCCCUGAAGUCCAGGCCUCCCCUCUCUGACUGGGAAGAUCGUCCUCUCUGUCUGAGGACCCUGGACUCAGGAGGAAGAGGAAAGACCCCCUCCUGGCCACCAUAGCUGCCAGAUCAACCCUGGUGCCUGGGGAGCAGCCUCCAUGGGCAGACACAUUCACCCAGGUCACCGCCUGGAUUCAGAAAACGGGGUUCUGUGUGGAAACCGGGGGCAGGAGCAGUAGAAGUUGCAUCCGGUCCUGCGUUUCUGCGCCGUGUUUUCCUCUGGUUCAUCUUCGGAGCCCGAGGGUGGCCUGGAUCCAAGACGUAGCAGGCCCCCGGUCUUCCUCCCACAUUCUCUCCGCGCUGUGGACCUUCCGCUGCAGUCAGCCCGUCCAGGAGACGCACACGGGCUCCCCCCACCCCCCCGACCGGACCUUUGUGCUCGGCAAGAGCAGUGCCGGGCGCCGGGUCUGAAGCCAGCGGGCGUCGUGAGCCCCUUCCCGCCCCGCACACCCCGUCUUUGGAAGGGCCCGCCCGUCCCACAUGCCGUGCUGUGCUCGCGGAGACCAGGCGUGCCGGCCGCUGCUCUCAGUACUUGGGGGUCCCCUGCCUGGUCCAGCCAGUCUGGGGGUUCUUCAGGCUCCUGCCCGCCCCCCGCGCUUGCUUGAGGACGGUCGCCGUGGAAGGUGCCGUCGGCCCCACCCCACACCUGCUGGGUCAGAGGCGCGCGGAGCUGGGAAUCCGCACCUCACCGGGUGGUUCUUGGACACGGGAAAGCUGACUGCCGGUGCUCCAGGCUGACAAAGGUGCCCUUCUGGAACUUUCGAAGCUUUGGGAUAAAAUUGGACGCGUCAGAGGCGUGUUUUCCACACUAAAACUUAAAAGUCCGGUCCGGUUUGCUUUUUAGGCAGGGCUUUAUGGCUUCGCCCGUUUGGGGACAGAAGGCUACGGAGAGAACAAACUCCCACCGGACGUUUGGCAGCCAGGAAAGGAGAAGCCGUGUGCCCUGCACCCUGCGGGGUGUGUGAGAAGGCUGCCGGGGGGGCCUCCUCCUCCCAGUGAUUCAACCAAACGCGGAUCUAGGUGCUGCCGGGAAGGCAUUUUGCAGAUGUGGGUGGCAUCUACAACCAGCUGACUUUAAGUAAAGAUGAUCCUCCAUGAUGUGGGUGGGCCUCGUCCAAUCAGUUGAAAGGCCUCAAGAACAAAGCCGGGGUUUUCCUGAGGAGGAAGAAAUUCCACCUGUGGCCUGUAGUGUCAGCUCCUGCCGGAGAGUUUCCAGCCUGGCCGGGCUGCCCCGGCCAGCCCCACAGUCAUGUGAGCCAGUUCCUUGAAAUAAGCCUCUUACUCUGUAUCUCCUUCUGGUUCCGUUUCCCUGGUAGAAUUCUGACUGAUACACCCUCUCCGUGGCUCCCAGGAUCGGGGCGGGGGGGGGGGGGGGCAGUCGGUGCUGCUUUGUUCCGUGGCUCCCUUUCCGCGUGGACGUGCGGUUUUAAACUACUGUCCUCUUCUAACUUUUUUCUCUUCCAGGAAAGUGCUGACUUGGGUGUUUUCCCUCCUUGUCAGUGAGUCGUGGGCCGGCCCUGUUGGGAUCCGUUGCCGGUCUCCACUUUCUCCACCGUCCCAUCUUUCCUCCUCCUCUUUCCUUCCCAUCCACAGGUCCCGGGGAGAGGCCGCACAGGCCUGCCGCCCGAGUCGCCGACCGGGCCAGCUGUGAGUGUUUCUUUGGCAGUGUCUUAGCUGGUUGUUGUGAGUAAUAGUGAAGGAAGCAAUCAGCAAGUAUACUGCCCUAGAAGUGCUGCACGUUGUGGGGCCCGCGAGGGAAGGAACAGGCGAGAGGCACCCGGAGCCAGCGGGGGACGCCGGAUCCAGGAUGUGGGCGGCUGUGCUCCGCCAUGUUGGUUGGUAAGGGCCUUCCGGGGGGAGCAGCCUCUAGGGCCCCCGGACUGGCCUGCUCGUGGGAGAGAAAAGCACCCAGGCUGGGGCCUGGAGGCUUCUGGCUGGGAGAAGUUUGCACACAGGGAUAAGCAAAGCCGGCAUUUACAGAGCGCUUAGGACGCAUGAAGCCCUGUUCUAAGCGUUCCGAAAUGUGUUCCCUCGGGAGCAAGAGUCUGCUGUUAUUUUUGUCUUAGAGAGAAGAAAACGGAAACACAGAGAGCAAAAGCCAACAAAGGAUGCAGCUGAUAGAAGCGGGGGACGGGGUUUGAACCCGAGCAGUGUGGCUUGAGAAUCUGUGCUCUUAACCCGGGGCCCGUGUCCCUAGAGAUGGGCCUGGGGUGGCAUCGCCACCCUGCGGACACCCAGACCCUGUUCCUCUUUCCCCGUGAGGCCGAUUGUGAAGGAAGUCAUUAGCUUUGGCGAGUGUGGCUGGGUGGGCAUUCGGAGGCGUGGCUGCCUUGGGGAGACUUUUCCUUCUCCGCCGAGGCCAGCCCCAGGACGGUGACCGGAAUGGAAUGAGAAGUUGCAGGUGUUUCCGCCCCGGUGGCGGAUCAGGAAGCUGCCUCCACGGGAGCUCAGCUAAAAGAGAGUCGAAUUCUCUGGGUCCUCUCGGCCCUCCCUGCGGACGCCGGCUUCGGGUCCAGCGGACCGUGCGGCCGGCUGGAUUGCCAUGGCAACACGAAGUGGACCCAAGCCCCCGGAGGACGGAGAGCAAAGACACAGUGGUGGCUUCUGUCGGUCUUGGACCACAAAGCGCAUCCUUGGCCUCCGUCUAGUGUUUGCAGGAAUUCACACACGUCCGCGAGGUGAAGCCAGAUGUCGGUGGUUACUCCUCUGGUCCCCCUGGCUGAGACGGGCCUCCAGGGUCUGCGAGGUGAUGGCGCUUCCGGUACCUUUGAUGCAGACCGAGGACAGCACCUGCUGUGACCCCCCCGGCCUCCGCACGCCCCCUCUGCUCGUCCUCCGGCCACUGCCUGGGGCACCGCCCUUGCUCCGGCCCGCCUGCCUGGACCCCAUGUAGUGGCUCUCUUGUCUCACCUGCCUCCGUGCUUCCUAGCAACCGAAGGGGAGCUGAGCCCGUUUCCAUCUUGACCCCUUUAUGUAAGCCAGAAGACCCCUUAGAAAGGUUUUCUGAGACUUGGAGUCUAACGUUGGCCUUGACACACCUCCUCGGGUCCAAGCUGGUCAUCUCCCUCUCAGUGCUCGAGAGCAAAGUGGACCGCCAGGCUCGCUUUAGCAAAUCGGAUUCCGGGGGGGGGGGGGGGGGGGGGGGACUCCUUCUGUUUCUUCUCCAGGGCUCAGAGGGGAGAGGGUCCCUUUGUAAUGCACUUGGGACUGGCCACGCCCAUGCCUCCUUGGCCACAGAUUCCCCUCUCUGCUCCCCAGGCCCGUGGAGCUGGGCGUGGGCUGCAGUGGGGGCCGUGGGAUGUCUGGAAUGCCAGCCGCGGUGACCGACCAACGCUCAGCUCCCAGAGCUGUUGACCAAGGCAGCAUUGGGGAUGGCUUUGGAGCCGAAGUCUUCACAUUUUUCCUAGUUUCGGGCGGAAGUGAAGAAUGCCCGCCUUCUCCCAGCCCCACCAGUUAAUUCAGGAGCUUGAAUUUUUUUGUUUGUUUGUUUGUUUUCUAAAUUAAAGGGACCACGCUCUUGGAUUGUGA